rnacentral:rRNA from 1 species
UCCGUAGGGUGCGAGCGUUGUCCGGAAUUAUUGGGCGUAAAGGGCUCGUAGGCGGUCUGUCGCGUCGGGCGUGAAAACUCAGGGCUUAACCCUGAGCCUGCUUCCGAUACGGGCAGACUAGAGGUAUGCAGGGGAGAACGGAAUUCCUGGUGUAGCGGUGGAAUGCGCAGAUAUCAGGAGGAACACCGGUGGCGAAGGCGGAUCUCUGGGCCGAUACUGACGCUGAGGAGCGAAAGCGUGGGGAGCGAACAGG